AACAAGCCACGGCUAACUACGUGCCAGCAGCCGCGGUAAUACGUAGGUGGCGAGCGUUGUCCGGAAUUACUGGGUGUAAAGGGCGCGUAGGCGGAUCUGCAAGUCGGAUGUGAAAUUCCCGGGCUCAACCCGGGCGCUGCAACCGAAACUGCGGAUCUGGAGUGCCGGAGAGGAAAGCGGAAUUCCCAGUGUAGCGGUAAAAUGCGUAGAGAUUGGGAGGAACACCAGUGGCGAAGGCGGCUUUCUGGACGGUAACUGACGCUGAGGCGCGAAAGCGUGGGGAGCAAACAGGAUUAGAUACCCUGGUAGUCCACGCUGUAAACGAUGGAUGCUAGGUGUAGGGGGUAUCGACCCCCCCUGUGCCGGAGCUAACGCA
rnacentral:rRNA from 1 species